UCCAUACGGGAGGGGGGUUUUACCUCCUGCACAGGAAAACAUGGAGACUGAUCCCACCAGCAGCAAGUGACACAAAAAGAGCCUGGAGUCGCUCUCUUCGCUUAUUCCAGUGUGUCAGUGACGCCAAACACGAGCUGACACCAGGGAGUUGUUGGAGGCAGCACAAUCCUCCUUUGACGUACCAGCAGCUGCACCAUGCUUUGAUGUCUCCACAAAACUCUGUGUUUAUCAGAACCUUCUCUAAUGGUGAAAUUUUACUGCCUCCCUGGUACCAUCAGCCCCUUGAUUCCUUCCCUGCAUCCCGUGAGACGAUUUUUAAGUUCGUCAGUGCUUUCAGAGCUGCUGCUUAGAAGUGGAAGCCACUGUGAUUCAUGCAAAGCAGUCAAGGAGAAUUGUCAAGUACUACAUUUAUGCUGAUUGGAAGUGGCAGAGCAGUACCACCAAGGCCUUUGUGCCCCAGGAAAUCACUGAGGUCCUUUAUGGCUGCUGAGCAUAUUCAUCUAGAAGCACCUUUUUGCAAUGUUCUCCCUCCCCUGCUAGUUGUUUAUUCAUGCAUCGACAAUGACGAGCACUUGAAGAAAAAGAAAAGCCAGACCUGAGCAAAGUGCACCAGGAGAUAUGAUAUGAACGUCAUUCAGCUCCCGUAAUUAAAUACAGAGAUCCACAGGAUCAAAGGGCACCUGGGUAAGUGAAAAGAAAAGCCUGUAUGCAAUGGAUCCAUCUCUGGAGCAGCUUCUUAUGGAUUAGAAUGAUGUGAAGCCUUAUCAGUCAAAGCAAAGGUGAAUACGGCUGGGAUUUAACUGUUUUGGGCAGAGUGCACUUCUGGUUUGAAUUCAACAUAAAAGCUGAACCAGACUGUCACCAGUGAAAUGGGGAGGUAGCUGUCCUGGACCUGAAAGGAAAUGACCGUCAGUGUCAGUGAGAGUCUUUUUGUUAGCAGCAAGUGACACUGGGGUGGAGUUGUGUCCCCAGGAUGUGUGUCUGAGCCAGGCAGGAGAACCUCUGGAUGCUCCUGGCACAGUGCAGCAGGGAGGCAAGCCCGGGAGGGGAAUGCUGGAGGGGCAGGGGCAGGCACAGCCGGUGGUGAAUCGGGAACUCUGGGCAGCAGUGGAGCCAAUUCAAGCGGGAGUGACACGUGCAGGGGAUGACAGCACAUUCCUUGAAGUGCUGGGGCAGAGACACUGAGAAAACCCAAACCUGGAACAGGUGGGAGUGACUCACGUGGAAUUUGUGGAACACAUGGAACAGCUGAAGCUGUUUGGACUUUUGCAGAGUUGGUCCAAUUUAGCAUGAGCCAUUUUCCAGGACACCAGUGAGAGCAUCUCUGCUUGCCCAAGGAGUGUUUUUCAUUGCAGGAAGGGGUUGUUCCCUCUCUUGAGAUUCCCACAAUGCCAGCCCGAGUUCGAGGCACUCCAGCAUCCGUGAGGGUAAGGCAGGGCUCUUGAGCAUCAUGGAGAACAGGAUCUGAGGCCGAUGAGCAGAGUUUAGAGGAACAACACACACUUGACUUUGUUAUUAUAAAUUAUCCCACAUCCUUCCUACCAUACCGCUUGGAGCCAUCCUGAUACAUCUGCAGGGUAAAUACAUGUCCAUAAGAAUCGAGUGCUUCUGCCCUGCUCUGUUAAGCCCUCCACUGGUUCAGAAGUCACUGGGGGUAAGUAAUAGCUCCUGGAGCCAGGCGAGAUGAUUGUAUCCUCAUUUCCAUUUCAAUGUCUGCACUGCUCUUCCAGUUCACAGCUCUU